rnacentral:rRNA from 1 species
AACGUAGGAGACAAACGUUAUCCGGAGUUACUGGGCGUAAAGCGCGUGUAGGCGGUUGUUCAAGUCAGGUGUGAAAGCCUUGAGCUCAACUCAAGAAAUGCACUUGAUACUGGAUGACUAGAGGACCGGAGAGGAUAGUGGAAUUCCCAGUGUAGUGGUGAAAUACGUAGAGAUUGGGAAGAACACCAGUGGCGAAGGCGGCUAUCUGGACGGUUUCUGACGCUAAGACGCGAAAGCGUGGGGAGCGAACAGG